rnacentral:rRNA from 1 species
GACGAACGCUGGCGGCGUGCCUAAUACAUGCAAGUAGAACGCUGAAGAGAGGAGCUUGCUCUUCUUGGAUGAGUUGCGAACGGGUGAGUAACGCGUAGGUAACCUGCCUUGUAGCGGGGGAUAACUAUUGGAAACGAUAGCUAGUACCGCGUAACAAUGGAUGACACAUGUCAUUUAUUUGAAAGGGGCAAUUGCUCCACUACAAGAUGGACCUGCGUUGUAUUAGCUAGUAGGUGAGGUAAUGGCUCACCUAGGCGACGAUACAUAGCCGACCUGAGAGGGUGAUCGGCCACACUGGGACUGAGACACGGCCCAGACUCCUACGGGAGGCAGCAGUAGGGAAUCUUCGGCAAUGGGGGCAACCCUGACCGAGCAACGCCGCGUGAGUGAAGAAGGUUUUCGGAUCGUAAAGCUCUGUUGUAAGUCAAGAACGGGUGUGAGAGUGGAAAGUUCACACUGUGACGGUAGCUUACCAGAAAGGGACGGCUAACUACGUG